GGCUCUGGGUCACCUCCCACCCGUGUUUAUUGUACCUUGUUGCUUCGGUGCGCCCGCCUCACGGCCGCCGGGGGGCUUCUGCCCCCGGGUCCGCGCGCACCGGAGACACCAUUGAACUCUGUCUGAAGAUUGCAGUCUGAGCAUAAACUAAAUAAGUUAAAACUUUCAACAACGGAUCUCUUGGUUCCGGCAUCGAUGAAGAACGCAGCGAAAUGCGAUAACUAAUGUGAAUUGCAGAAUUCAGUGAAUCAUCGAGUCUUUGAACGCACAUUGCGCCCCCUGGUAUUCCGGGGGGCAUGCCUGUCCGAGCGUCAUUGCUGCCCUCAAGCACGGCUUGUGUGUUGGGCUCCGUCCCCCCGGGGACGGGCCCGAAAGGCAGCGGCGGCACCGAGUCCGGUCCUCGAGCGUAUGGGGCUUUGUCACCCGCUCUGUAGGCCCGGCCGGCGCCAGCCGACAACCCAUCAUCCUUUUCAGGUUGACCUCGGAUCAGGUAGGGAUACCCGCUGAACUUAAGCAUAUCAAUAAGC
rnacentral:rRNA from 1 species